GGAAAUGAAAAGAAAUGAUGGCCAAGACUUGGAUUUAUUACUGCUAAAAUUUUUAAAAAUCUAAUUACAAAAUAGUAUAUACUCACUGUGUAAAAAACAGGGUGUGAAAGUAUAAAAAAUAAAAUCACAGUCACCUAUUCUCACACUUCUCAGAGAUAACCACUGUUAACAUUUUAGAUGUGAAAAAGUACACGAGACUAUUAAUUUCGUAUGUGCUUUUAAAAUUUCAUUUCUACAUAGGUUUUAAGUGCCACAGGUGCCGCCCAGAAAUAAAUUGCUUUUAAGUUUAUUCUGAAUCCAGCCACUUUAACAGAGACCAGUAAUUUUAACAUAUUAUGUAAAGGCAAUGAUAAUCUUGACUCUUUCUGGAUCUCAUAUUUAUGUUUCAGGUCUUGUUUCACUGGCUAGAGCUUCAAGAACAAUAGUAUGUUUCUGUUAUGAAAGGGAAUGCCUCUGAUGCUGCAGCUGGGUAUCAUGCAGGCUUUAGGGAGGCCUAAGAUAGAUCUUUAGGGAGGCCUAGAUAGGUAGAGUAAAGGAGUAUAUGUCUGAUCUUAAAUUUUAUAAGGAAUUAUUAGUUCUGCCUUUUAAGUAAUCAUCUGAAUUAUUGACAACAAAUACAUAUUCCUUACCUGGCUCUAAUUUCAAGUUAAAAACAUGUAAAAGAGGACUAAUAUUGUGGACAAAGUUAGUUGGAGGGGUCAAUUACACUUCUUCUCUGUUGAGAGUUCUCUAAAACCAUCACUUCUUAACUUUAAUUAUCAGACUUGUUCUGGGAAAUGACAGGAAAUGACAGGAAAAGAAAGGGCAAUGUACAAAACAAUUUUUUAUUUUUAUCUUGAUAAUGUUUUAAAAAUAUUCACCUAAACUAGGCCUAAUGGUUGGCCAUUUAUGCAGUAAAAAACAAGAAACAGCUGGUAUAAUGGAAAAACCUAAUCUGGGCUCAUCUUCCAGCUUUGUUAUUUGUAAGCUAUUAUUAAUGUCAGGUAAAUUUUACACUUUCAAUUUCUUCAUUUGUGAAAUGAGGAUUGUACUAUCUUAGCUCACAUCAUUUAUGAGAAUUAAAAAAAUAAUGAAUAGAUAACAGAAUAAUAUUAAUAAUUAACCAGUACAUUAUUAAUAAUAAAAUUGUAAAAUAUCUAUUAUAACAGAUAAUAAACAAUAAAUAGAAAUACACUGUUGUCCUUAAAGUCUCUAUACAUAGGAAAAUGGGAAAUUGUAGCUAAGUGUACAUUUAUAAAAUAUUCAUUAUUAAAUUUUACAAAAUAUUUACAAAGCAUUCUCUAUGUAUUGGCUACUUCUUUGUAAAAUUUUAUAGUGAAUAUUUGGUAAAUACAGGUACAUUUAACUACAAUUUCCCACAUUUUCUAUAUAUCUUGACUUUGUGGACACUCUAGAAUGUAUGGAUAAAAGAAAUAAUGUAUAGGGCAGCUAGCAGUGUCUGCCAUAUAGGCACUUUCAAUAACCAAGUCCCUCCUCUCUUAUCCCUGAGUCAAUACACGAGAAAA